rnacentral:tRNA from 1 species
GCAUCCGUCGCCUAAUUGGUAUGGCACCAGACUUUUAAUCUGGCGGAAUUACUUUCCAUGCGAGUUCGAGUCUCGUCGGGUGCA